rnacentral:rRNA from 1 species
GACGAACGCUGGCGGCGUGCUUAACACAUGCAAGUCGAGCGGUAAGGCCCUUUCGGGGGUACACGAGCGGCGAACGGGUGAGUAACACGUGGGUGACCUGCCCUCAGCUCUGGGAUAAGCCUGGGAAACUGGGUCUAAUACUGGAUAUGACUCCACGGUGCAUGUCGUGGGGUGGAAAGCCUUGUGCGGCUGAGGAUGGGCCCGCGGCCUAUCAGCUUGUUGGUGGGGUGANGGCCUACCAAGGCGACGACGGGUAGCCGGCCUGAGAGGGCGACCGGCCACACUGGGACUGAGACACGGCCCAGACUCCUACGGGAGGCAGCAGUGGGGAAUCUUGCGCAAUGGGCGAAAGCCUGACGCAGCGACGCCGCGUGAGGGAUGACGGCCUGG